UACAGAGGGGGCAAGCGUUGUUCGGAAUUACUGGGCGUAAAGGGCGCGUAGGCGGCCUGUUAAGUCGAACGUGAAAUCCCCGGGCUCAACCCGGGAACUGCGUCCGAUACUGGCAGGCUUGAAUCCGGGAGAGGGAUGUGGAAUUCCAGGUGUAGCGGUGAAAUGCGUAGAUAUCUGGAGGAACACCGGUGGCGAAGGCGGCAUCCUGGACCGGUAUUGACGCUGAUGCGCGAAAGCGUGGGUAGCAAACAGG
rnacentral:rRNA from 1 species